CCCUCUUUCUGGUGAACCGGCGCACAUCGCCCAUACGCAUGCUUCUUUUCGUCUUUCUGGUAAACCAGCGCACGUCAAUGCACACCACCUAUAUCAUAUAUAAGCUGACAGCGCACUUCUGACCUCAAAAGUUUGCACCCAAACCGCUUUCUCUCCCUUGCCAAUCGCAAAAUUUCAGCUGGCAACUAUGUAAGCCUAGCGCCGCCAUGUUUAAAACGCGAUCCCGUGAUCUUUCGUCCCGCCCGCCAUGUUUAAAUUUGCUGCGUGUCUUCUUGUGAAGACGAGACGUGCACGUCCGGCGUAGAGUGCAGUUGACACAAGCGAGUUACUCACACAUGUCACAUCAGAGUCAGCAAUCUGGCUUGCCCACAGCGCUCAAUAAAAUUUGCCUUCAAUCCUGUGAUGGUGGCAAGAUUCCAAAUGACAUUUGCAACGCAACUCUGAAACCCAGAAAAGCCUCACGAGAAACAAUUGCUGUGAGACUGCAACAGCAUCUGCCAGUUAGAGAGGCUACAUCGCUUUGGAGUUUCCCGGUGGAACUCCUGUGUGAUGUGUGGCACAGUCGAGACACAUUGCCAUGCCCUUUUUGACUGCAUUAACGUUGCAUCUAUGUGGAGGUUGGUGGCCAUGCUUUAUCACCUGCCUGCCUGCAGUAGCAUACAGUACAGUACAGGUGCUUAUAACCUCAUCCCUGUGCAAGAAUGGAAGCGGCCCGCUUUCAUGCUGCUAGUGGCAGAGAUCACCUACCAAUACUGGACAGCAGAGACGAACCGGUGUGUACGGUUUGCAGCCAGUGACGCUUGUAAGUGUUCUUCUUGUCAGAAUUUACAACCCUCGGUUACGAACAAUUUAGGAGGUGUCGGAAAAGCCACUGGAAUGCGUUCGUGCUUGCCAAUGGCAAAAUCAUCUUCAAUUUUUGAAAGAAAAAAAACAGGAUCAAAAGACUGGGUUUGUGGGGACCCUCCCGCAGUGAGCUCCCUCCAACUACUGUGUGAAUGUAUUAUGCGACCGUGGUUACAGUGAUACAUAAUCUGCGAUACUUAUUCAUCAGUCAGAUCUUUUGGGUUCUACAUAACCAUCGGAGUGCAAGUGCAGUGAUCUCCACUGUGCAGUGUUUGUGAACAGAUUUCUAUACAUUCAUUCGGAUGCUUGUGUUCAUGUCUCAAAUUUGUCCAUGUAAUGUCCCAGUCCCCUUGAUUGUUUUGUCCAAGUUUUGUACUGCAGGCAUGUUGUCUCUAAGUUUUAAACAGUUCAUUAUUCUCAGUAAACAUCUGUUCUUAUCAGCUUAGUAUCUGAUAAGAGUCCUAUUUGUACUCAAGAUAUUAAACUUAUUUUUGGAAUA